CCUACGGGGCGCAGCAGUGGGGGAUAUUGCACAAUGGAGGAAACUCUGAUGCAGCGACGCCGCGUGAGGGAAGACGGUCUUCGGAUUGUAAACCUCUGUCUUUGGGGAAGAAAAUGACGGUACCCAAAGAGGAAGCUCCGGCUAACUACGUGCCAGCAGCCGCGGUAAUACGUAGGGGGCAAGCGUUAUCCGGAUUUACUGGGUGUAAAGGGAGCGUAGACGGCGAUGCAAGUCAGAUGUGAAAACCAUGGGCUCAACCUGUGGCCUGCAUUUGAAACUGUUUUUCUUGAGUACUGGAGAGGCAG
rnacentral:rRNA from 1 species